GCGUUUGUGGUUUAGUGGUAAAAUCCAUCGUUGCCAUCAUCUUCUCUUCAUCGGAAGAGAUCUUGAAAUAACAUCGAUGGGCCCCGGGUUCGAUUCCCGGCGAACGCA
rnacentral:tRNA from 1 species